AGAAUCAACGCUGGCGGCGCGCUUAACACAUGCAAGUCGAGCGAGAAAGUGGAGCAAUCCAUGAGUACAGCGGCGUACGGGUGAGUAACACGUGGGUCAUAUACCUCUUAGUGGGGAAUAACCCUGGGAAACCGGGGCUAAUACCGCAUAAGCCUGCAAAGGGAAAGUAGCAAUACGCUGAGAGAGUAGCCCGCGGCCGAUUAGCUAGUUGGUGAGGUAAUGGCUCACCAAGGCGGUGAUCGGUAGCCGGCCUGAGAGGGCACACGGCCACACUGGCACUGAAACACGGGCCAGACUCCUACGGGAGGCAGCAGUGGGGAAUCUUGCACAAUGGAGGAAACUCUGAUGCAGCGACGCCGCGUGAGCGAUGAAGCCUUUCGGGGUGUAAAGCUCUUUCGGCAGGGACGAUAAUGACGGUACCUGAAGAAGAAGCUGCGGCUAACUACGUGCCAGCAGCCGCGGU
rnacentral:rRNA from 1 species